UAGGGAAUCUUCCGCAAUGGGCGAAAGCCUGACGUAGCAACGCCGCGUGAGUGAUGAAGGUCUUCGGAUCGUAAAACUCUGUUAUUAGGGAAGAACAAAUGUGUAAGUAACUAUGCACGUCUUGACGGUACCUAAUCAGAAAGCCACGGCUAAUUACGUGCCAGCAGCCGCGGUAAUACGUAGGUGGCAAGCGUUAUCCGGAAUUAUUGGGCGUAAAGCGCGCGUAGGCGGUUUUUUAAGUCUGAUGUGAAAGCCCACGGCUCAACCGUGGAGGGUCAUUGGAAACUGGCAAACUUGAGUGCAGAAGAGGAAAGUGGAAUUUCAUGUGUAGCGGUGAAAUGCGCAGAGAUAUGGAGGAACACCAGUGGCGAAGGCGACUUUCUGGUCUGUAACUGACGCUGAUGUGCGAAAGCGUGGGGAUCAAACAGGAUUAGAUACCCUGGUAGUCCACGCCGUAAACGAUGAGUGCUACGUGUUUGGGGGUUUCCGCCCCUUAGUGACGCAGCUAACGCAUUAAGCACUCCGCCUGGGGAGUACGACCGCAAGCUGU
rnacentral:rRNA from 1 species